UGGGGAAUUUUGGACAAUGGGCGAAAGCCUGAUCCAGCAAUGCCGCGUGUGUGAAGAAGGCCUUCGGGUUGUAAAGCACUUUUGUCCGGAAAGAAAUCCUUGGCUCUAAUACAGUCGGGGGAUGACGGUACCGGAAGAAUAAGCACCGGCUAACUACGUGCCAGCAGCCGCGGUAAUACGUAGGGUGCAAGCGUUAAUCGGAAUUACUGGACGUAAAGCGUGCGCAGGCGGUUUGCUAAGACCGAUGUGAAAUCCCCGGGCUCAACCUGGGAACUGCAUUGGUGACUGGCAGGCUAGAGUAUGGCAGAGGGGGGUAGAAUUCCACGUGUAGCAGUGAAAUGCGUAGAGAUGUGGAGGAAUACCGAUGGCGAAGGCAGCCCCCUGGGCCAAUACUGACGCUCAUGCACGAAAGCGUGGGGAGCAAACAGGAUUAGAUACCCCUGGUAGUCCACGCCCUAAAACGAUGUCAACUAGUUGUUGGGGAUUCAUUUCCUUAGUAACGUAGCUAACGCGUGAAGUUGACCGCCUGGGGAGUACGGUCGCAAGAUUAAAACUCAAAGGAAUUGACGGGGU
rnacentral:rRNA from 1 species